CGGGUACUAGCUCAACUUGGUGGAGCGCGUCGUUCGGGACGACGAGGAUGGGCGUUCGAAUCGCCCGUACCCGA
rnacentral:tRNA from 1 species